AUACGGAGGAUCCGAGCGUUAUCCGGAUUUAUUGGGUUUAAAGGGUGCGUAGGCGGAAUAGCAAGUCAGUGGUGAAAGUUUGCAGCUUAACUGUAAAAUUGCCAUUGAAACUGCUGUUCUUGAGUACAGUAGAGGUAGGCGGAAUGUGUAGUGUAGCGGUGAAAUGCAUAGAUAUUACACAGAACACCGAUUGCGUAGGCAGCUUACUGGAGUGUAACUGACGCUGAGGCACGAUAGCGUGGGGAUCAAACGGGAUUAGAUACCCUGGUAGUCCACGCCGUAAACGAUGAUUACUAACUGUUUGCGAUAUAAUGUAAGUGGUACAGAGAAAUCGUUAAGUAAUCCACCUGGGGAGUACGCCGGCAAGAAUGAA
rnacentral:rRNA from 1 species